GCCAGCCCGCUCAGAAACUCGAAAGGAAGUUGACGGGGGCCCGCACAAGCGGUGGAGUAUGUGGUUUAAUUCGAUGCAACGCGAAGAACCUUACCUGGUCUUGACAUCCCGGAGACCCUUAGGAAACUAGGGGGUGCUUCCAUCUGGAAGAAUCUGGAGACAGGUGCUGCAUGGCUGUCGUCAGCUCGUGUCGUGAGAUGUUGGGUUAAGUCCCGCAACGAGCGCAACCCUUGCCUUUAGUUGCCAGCAGUUCGGCUGGGCACUCUAAAGGGACUGCCGGUGUUAAACCGGAGGAAGGUGGGGAUGACGUCAAGUCCUCAUGGCCUUUAUGACCAGGGCUACACACGUACUACAAUGGCCGAUACAAAGGGCAGCGACACUGCGAGGUGAAGCCAAUCCCGUAAAAUCGGUCUCAGUCCGGAUUGGAGUCUGCAACUCGACUCCAUGAAGUUGGAAUCGCUAGUAAUCGUGGAUCAGCAUGCCACGGUGAAUACGUUCCCGGGCCUU
rnacentral:rRNA from 1 species